rnacentral:rRNA from 1 species
CUGGGCUAGAAUGCCUCUGACAACCCUAGAGAUAGGGCUUCCUAGGGAAACCUAGGCAGAGUGCAAGGUGCUGCAUGGCUGUCGUCAGCUCGUGUCGUGAGAUGUUGGGUUAAGUCCCGCAACGAGCGCAACCCUUAUCGUUAGUUGCCAGCGCGUAAUGGCGGGAACUCUAACGAGACUGCCUGGGUUAACCAGGAGGAAGGUGAGGAUGACGUCAAGUCCGCAUGGCCUUUAUGUCCAGGGCUACACACGUGCUACAAUGGCAAGUACAAAGCGCUGCAAACUCGCGAGAGGGAGCCAAUCGCAAAAAGCUUGUCUCAGUUCGGAUUGGAGUCUGCAACUCGACUCCAUGAAGCUGGAACCGCUAGUAAUCGCAGAUCAGCACGCUGCGGUGAAUACGUUCCC